AUACCGGGCCUUUUUGGGCUUGGUAAUUGGAAUGAGGGAGAGUUAAACGGACCAUCGAGUAUCCAUUGGAGGGCAAGUCUGGUGCCAGCAGCUGCGGUAAUACCAGCUCCAAUAGCGUAUAUUAAAGUUGUUGCAGUUAAAAAGCUCGUAGUUGGACUUGUGUGCGCUGUCCGCGGGUGGCCUGCGCCCAAAAGGGCGUUUCGGUUCGGCCCCGGUGGCGCCUUGAAAUCUGCAGCUAGGGGGACGUUGGCCUUAACUGGUCGGCGACCGCACGCCGGCUGCUCGGUUACUGUGAGAAAAUUAGAGUGUUCAAGGCAGGCAUUGGGUGCAAUUGAAUACAUUAGCAUGGAAUAAUAAAAUAUGGCUCCUGCCGUAUUUUGUUGGUUUUGACUGGUGGGAGUAAUGAUUGAUAGGGACGGUUGGGGGUGCUAGUAUUGAGCGGCCAGAGGUGAAAUUCAUGGAUUCGCUCAAGACUAACUUAUGCGAAAGCAUUCACCAAGGACGUCCUCUUUAAUCAAGAACGAAAGUUGGGGGAUCGAAGACGAUCAGAUACCGUCGUAGUCUCAACCAUAAACUAUGUCGACUUGGGAUCGGCGGUAGUUUUUUCAUUAAGACACUGUCGGGACCACGGGAGAAAUCAAAGUGUCUGGACUCUGGGGGAAGUAUGGUCGCAAGGCUGAAACUUGAAGGAAUUGACGGAAGGGCACCACCAGGAGUGGAGCCUGCGGCUUAAUUGACCCAACACGGGGAAACUUACCAGGUCCAGAGAUGUAGAGGAUUGACAGAUUGAAGCUCUUUCUUGAUCACUUCGGUGGUGGUGCAUGGCCGUUCUUAGUUGGUGGAGUGAUUUGUCUGGUUAAUUCCGUUAACGAACGAGACCUCAGCCUGCUAGUGUAGUCGGCUGGAUUGCCUUUGGCGAUCCGUGAUUUCGACUUCUUAGAGGGACAAUCGACGCGCAGUCGAUGGAAGUUUGAGGCAAUAACAGGUCUGUGAUGCCCUUAGAUGUUCUGGGCCGCACGCGCGCUACACUGCUGGGCUCAGCGAGUUUUACUUGGCCGAGAGGCCCGGUUAAUCUUGUGAAAUCCCAGCGUGCUUGGGCUCGCCUCCUGCAACUGGAGGCGCCAACGAGGAAUUCCUAGUAGACGCAGGUCAUCAACCUGCAUCGAUUACGUCCCUGCCCUUUGUACACACCGCCCGUCGUUCCAUAAGAGUGAGGCAUCCGGUGAAUUCUCGGGAGAGCCUGGGCGUGGCCAGCAAUGGUCUGCUCGGGUUUGAACUUGCAUAAACUUGGUGCCUAUGAUUAGGG
rnacentral:rRNA from 1 species